ACAUGGCUUUGUUAGGAGGCAGAUAUUAAUUCAGUGUUUUGUGGCGAGGCCUUUUGAGGGGACUCUUUGUCUCUUCCCCGUCAAUUGUCCUCCAAGCAGCCUCGCACAUUC